CUUCAUACGCCAGCCAACUCCGUCAGCAGCAGCUACUUUGAACAUCAUCAUUAUGAAGGUCCUCGUCCUCCUCGUUCUUGUUGGAUUCGAGGCUCGCAUGAACGCCUUCUCCUGCUCCGAUGACUGCUUCAGCUACCUUGAAGGACCCUACUGCAUCUCCAACGGCUCCGUCGUGUGUGACAACUGCGUCAGGGACAAGAUGCUUUGCCAGUA